rnacentral:rRNA from 1 species
GGCCUUUUGAAUUUAAUAUAAGGUCUGACCUGCCCAGUGAUAGUUUUAACGGCCGCGGUAUACUGACCGUGCAAAGGUAGCAUAAUCAUUAGUCUUUUAAUAGAGGGCUGGAAUGAAAGGUUUCACGAGGAACUGACUGUCUCAUUUUAUUUGUUUUAAAAUUUAAUUUUUUAGUUAAAAAGCUAAAAUUUUAUUGGUAGACGAGAAGACCCUAUAGAGCUUUACAUAUAAUUAAAUAAAUAUUUUUAUAUUAAUAUUUUUAUUUAUUUUUGUGUUUUGUUGGGGUGACAAAAAUAUAUAACUAACUUUUUUAUUUACUUUACAUUAAUUUAUGAAUAUUAGAUCCAAUACUAUUGAUUAUUAGACUAAGUUACCUUAGGGAUAACAGCGUAAUCCUCCUCCAGAGUUCAUAUUUACAGGAUGGGCUUGCGACCUCGAUGUUGGAUUAAGAUAAUAAUUAGGUGUAGCCGCUUAAUUGAUAGGUCUGUUCGACCUUUAAAUUCUU